rnacentral:lncRNA from 1 species
CCUGGCUUGCUUGAACUGUGAUGGUGAGUGUCCUUCUAUCUCACAUGCCCUCCUUCCUCCAUGGUGUGUGUGUGUGUGUGCGUGUUGCUUUUAAGGCUGGAGAUGAACAACCCAGCCUAUUGACCAAUGUUGCUGGAUUCCUCUUGCCCUCUAAUAAUUUCUCAUGUGUAGGCUUGCUUGGUGCAGACUUAAUUUAAUCUUUAAAGAUAAAUAGAAUCUUCUUUGGAGAUGCUCAAUCUAAUUGUCCACCCAGCGUUGAAAUUUCUUCAGUCGUCGGAUCAGCCUAGCUGUAGCAUUAUAGGAUCAACAGCCCCUGGCCAUAAGAAAGAGAGAGAAAACAAAAUAACUCACCCCUACUAUUUGCAACAGAAUAAUCUUUUUUUGUGUGUUCCAUGCUUGAGUUAUUCAGUUCUUGAUUAUCCCACCUAAGAUCAAAUACUGGGAUGAUUUGUAACAAGUGACCACCAUUUUACCCCAGGAAUGGAAGCCAGAUGACACAGAUCGGAUUAUGGCAGAGAUGCCAAAUAUGUUUAUAUGAGGUUGUUCAUGGAAACUUCACUGUUGUGUAUUUUGUCACAAAAGUGUUUACCCAUCGACAGUCUGAUGCUUUACGCGAUAUUCCAGUUGUCAAGCACAUAUAAUUUGCGUUCUUGUCCAUAUUGUGUCAUUGUCUUGACUGUUCUAAUUAUCCAGUAGUUAUCUCAAGUAUUCGCACCAAUCUUACUAAAUUUUGCUUCAACUCUACCUGAACAACUCAGCGGCGGUGAGGGAGGUGUGUCUGCUCAGCACGACCGAGGUGCCAUGGCAUUGAGAUGGUGCUAGGAUUAUUGGGCGUCUUUGAGGAGCAAUUGCAUGAUUCUCUCUUAGAAGGUAAUGUAAUGGUUUAGUUCCUGAUGUUGGGUUUAGUUCCUUGAUGUGUCCAAAGGUGUAAUCUUUCCCCGAUGAAAAGAAACUAGUGUGUAAUUGUGGGGGACGUAGGGAACGGAUAUGCUACUCAUCAUAUUGUCAGAAGUACAUGGUGCCUUAUCAAUGACGAGCUUGUGGUCUUUUAUCAUAUCCACCUACUAAUUCUCAUAGAGAGAAAUUUGUGUAGCAUUCUUUUAGUUAGGAGCAUAUUUUUGUCCUUAGAUUAAAACCAAAACUAUUUUCUCUAAGGGCAUUUGUAUUCAGACAUUAACCUGUACCCAACAGCUACUUGUGGCAGAACAUGCUUUCUGACUGCGUACAUGCUGUUGAUAGACGGGUCGAUGAACCUAUUGGUUGUUGCCACACAAAUCCACCCGACUGAGACAGACUAUGCUUUAUUUGUGUUCAUCAAAUACUUGAUAUGAAAAUCCCUGCUUGCUUAUCGUACCUGCAAACACCUCCUUUGUGAGAAAUCAAUAACAUAAUGUUAUGUGUAUGUCCCACUGUUUCACAUUAAACAACAUUCUUAUAGGAUAUAAAAGCUUGUGAAGUGAUUGCAUCCUCAACAAUUAGUAUGAAAAAUUAUUUCCAUUUUAUCAUGUUCUGCCCGAAUAGUAUGCAUCCUCCUUGGUUGAAUUUGAUCUUCCCUGAUGCGGUUUCUCACCCAGGUGCAUAAGAGACCUGUAGUUAUCGCUGGGAGAAGGUGUGAGGCCAAUUUCAACCGCAAAUGGCCUACGAAGGUAAGUGCCCUUUCGUCUCACUUGCCCUCAUCCCUCCCAUAAUGUUUAUUUGCAAUCUUUCCUUUCCUGAGAGGAAAAUUGCAUUUGACGGGACUAGUGGAUACUAAUACAUGGACUCAAUCAUUCCUNNNNNNNNNNNNNNNNNNNNNNNNNNNNNNNNNNNNNNNNNNNNNNNNNNNNNNNNNNNNNNNNNNNNNNNNNNNNNNNNNNNNNNNNNNNNNNNNNNNNNNNNNNNNNNNNNNNNNNNNNNNNNNNNNNNNNNNNNNNNNNNNNNNNNNNNNNNNNNNNNNNNNNNNNNNNNNNNNNNNNNNNNNNNNNNNNNNNNNNNNNNNNNNNNNNNNNNNNNNNNNNNNNNNNNNNNNNNNNNNNNNNNNNNNNNNNNNNNNNNNNNNNNNNNNNNNNNNNNNNNNNNNNNNNNNNNNNNNNNNNNNNNNNNNNNNNNNNNNNNNNNNNNNNNNNNNNNNNNNNNNNNNNNNNNNNAUGGAGAGGGAGAGGGGAGAGGGAGAGAGAGAGCGAGAGAGGUCCGAGCAACAGGUAGACAACCCUUGUUUGAUUGGUAAGGUUCAACAUUCACUGCUUAAUAGAGUGAGUGCUUUAUGUGGCCAGAGGAUGUCUCGAGAGGUCUUGUCAUGAUGUACAAAGAAGUAAUAUUUGGUUCUUCCUCUAAUAUGGAUUAUCGAUUGAUGCAAAACUAGUGAAUGUCAAACUGUAUAACCUCUAAGAGGAACCCUAUGGUCAAAUAUCUAUCAUUUUCCAGCAGACUGUACCAAAACACCUAAAAAAAGAGGUGCCUUUGUCCAUUAGAUGCGUUGGUUCGAUUAGAAGUGAUGUUUGUAAUUGCUCCAUCAUGGUACAUUGUGCACUUUGUUGAUUUAUGAGAAUCCAAUAUGUUUAUGUGAGACAGUUCAUGGAAACAUCACUGUGAGGUACUUUGUUGGAAAAGCAUUUCCCUAUUGACAAUCUGAUGGUUUUCCAUGUGGUCAUUGUCAUGUACCAGCGUAUUGUGAUUCUGGUUGUCAAACACAUAGAAUUUGUGCUCUUGUACCUGUUAUGUCAUGAUCUCUGCUUUUCUUAUGAUCCAAUAAUUGUCUCAAGUAUUUGCGCCAAUCUAACUAAAAUCUGGUUCAACUCUACCUGAAAAAUUCAGCGGCGGUGUCGAGGGAGGUCAGUCUGCUCGGUGCGCAUAAGGUGCCACAGCAUUGAGCGUCUUUGAGGAGCAAGUGUGUGAUGCUCUCUUGGAAGGUAAUGUAUGGCUUUUCCCUGAUGUUGCGUUUAGUUUCUGAUGUUACCAAACGGUUAAUCUUUCCGCAAUGAAAAUAAGCAAGUGUGUACUUGGGGGGGAGCAUUGGGAUUAAAUGUGCUAGUUCUCAUAUGGACAGAAGUACAUGUUGAGCUUGCGGUCUUUCCACCUACUAGUUCUAAUAGAGAAAAGUAGUUAUGUAACAUUUGUUCAGUAGAGUGCAUAUUUUGUUCUCAGAAUAAAAUUUGAACCUUUUUCCAUAAGGGCAUUUGUAUUCAGACAUUAAUCUGUACCAAAUAGUUGCUUCUCUCAGAACAUGCUUUUCGAGUGCCUACAUGCAGUCACUGGCAGGGUCGAUCAACCUGUUGGUUGUUGUCACACAAAUCCAUCCAUGUCUUGUCGCUGUACUACGAAAGGUUGUGCUUUAUUUGUGUUCAACAAAUACUUGAUAUGAAGAUCCCUGCUUGGAUUACCUUACCCUCAAGCACCUCUUUUGCGAGCCAACAAGAACAUAAAGUUAUGUCUAUGUCACACUGUUUUUCAUUAAGCAACAUUUGCUUUGCAUAUAAAAGCUUGUGAAGCGUGUGUAUCCGCUGCAAUUAGUACUGCAGCAUCUUCUCUAGCUUUAUCAUGUUCUGCCCGACUAGUAUUGCAUCAUCCUUGGUUCAAUUCAAUCUUCUCUGUCGUGGUUUCCUCAUGCAAGUUUACAAGAGAUCCCGACAUCACCAGCGAAUCCGUCGGUGUUAGGCCUACUUCCACCGCAAAAAGCACCCAAUGGUGAGUGCCCUUCCAUCUCACUUGCCGUACUCCCUCCAUGGUGUGUGCUUGUGAUCUUUUCUUUUCCAAGAGAAAAUAUUGCAUUUUCAGGGUAUAGUAAAACAUGGACUCAAUCAUUCCACUGUUGUUUGAGAGAAUCUUAGUUGUGUCCAAUGCCAAUAUGUCAAGAAAGCCUCAGAGUGAAUGUGUUCUAAUUCAAUUUGCUAUGAACUCUUCCCUGGUUUUGAGUCCGCCAUUUGAUCUCUUAGCUUAUAAGGCUGGACAUGGAAAACUUGGGUUUGUCUUUUGUCUUUAUCAACCCUGGCUUAGAAGAAAAAAUAUUACGUUGGGAAAAAAAAUUGAGCGAAUGAGGGGUUUAUAGGGUAAAUAUCAUCCUCUCAUUUACAUUAAUGUAUAUUAAGCAUCAUCUCUUUAUUUACAUUCAUAUAUAUUAAGCAUUCACCUACCCUUUUAAUAGAUAUCAACAUGAUGUUCUAUCUUGCUGAACCAAGCAUUCUUGUAUAAUUUUAGUUGGUAGUUUGAUUGGUGUGUUGUGAACGAUAGAGAAAUUUCUAGUCACGAGUUUCCAGGGUGAGUAUUCAAGAUGCCAGUUUAGUUAUGUGAAGAAGACCGCAGACUUGCAGGUUUCCGUUUCAAUCUUUUUAAUUGUUUCCCUUUCGGAUUAUGGUCAUCUGGCACGGUUUAAUUACAAUCUGAUGGUUUUCCAUGCUGGCAUUGUCAUGUACUAGUGUGACGCGAUUCUAGUUGCCAAGCAUAAAUAAUUUCCAUUCUUGUCCAUAUUGUGUCAUGAUCUUGACUAUUCUUAUCAUCCAAUAAUUAUCUCAAGUAUUUGCACCAAUCUUACUAAACUCUGUUCAACUCUACUUGAACAACUUAGCAGCUGCGAGGGAGAUGUGUCUGCUUAGUGCGGUCGAGCUGCCUUGGGCAUUGAGAUGGUGCUGGGAGCAUUGUGCGUCUUUGAGGAGUAAGUGUGUUAUUCUCUCUUGGAAGGUAAUGUAUGGUUUUGUUGCUGAUGUUGGGUUUAGUUCCUUGAUGUUGCCAAAGGUGUAAUCUUUCCCCCAUGAAAAGAAUCUAAUGCGUAAUUGUGGUGGACCUUGGGACUCGAUGUGCUAGUGAUCAUAUGGUCAGAAGUACUUGGUGCCUUAUCAAUGAUGAGCUUGUGGUCUUUAUCAUAUCCACCUACUAGUUCUAAUGGAGAAAAAAGUUUUGUAACAUUCUUUCAGUUAAGCACAUAGUGUCACCAGUGUAAUGUUUCUAUUUUUCCCAUUUUAUAGUGGUCUUAAUAAUCAGCAUGGUAUCCGAGUGUCAACCUACAGUUUAGUUUUAGUUUUUAAUUCUUCAAUGGGAAAUAAGAUUUCUCAUUCCAUAUGGACAGAGAAAGCAUAGUUAUAGCUGUGGGGUUGCAGGACCGUGUAAAAGUUAGAAUAAGCUUUUGCGCACAAAAUUUAAGGGAAAACAGUUUAACAUCUAGUCACAUCUGUUUUCUGUUUGAGCUCCUAUAAUAUGAUUGCUGCUCUCAAGUCUGAAUCUCUCUGCCUGUAAUGAAAGAAUAUGGGGAUUUUUUGUGUUAGUGUUUGUUUGAAUCAGAGUUGGGUGUUUGAAACAAUGCCCAGGAAUUUAUAUUUUGUAAAGCCAUGCAUGUGCAGUAAUUCUGAAAAUGUUCGCUUGCACUAGAGUCAAUUGGCUCGGUGAAUGAUGCUCUAGUGCUUGCCAUAGUUGCUGCCAGCUAGUUCAACGUGAUUCCCAUGGCCAGAUAUAGAGUAUAUAUAGAUCAGGUAUUCCUGGCACAAUUACUACGAUUAAUCCAUUUGGAAAGGCAAAAUUAGGCUCAAAAUUCUUAAUCUGUUGCUUAUAACCAUCAUGCAAUUUUUGCUUUGCUUGUUCAUGCCGAUAAAAGACCAGACCCACUAGUGUAUUGAUCGAAACUUGUUUUAUGCAAUCAUCCUCUUGUUUUAUACAUUAUGGUAUGUUGUUGCAAGGUUCAAAGUUUACUUUGGUUCAUUUCUUGUGAUCACCAUGCUGCCUUAGUUGUCUAAUUACCAUUUUUUGUAGCGUUAUGUUGACUGUGCUUCUUCUUUGCAGCCAUGUAUUAUAACUAGCGCGUUGGCCUUAUCCUGUUCGACACACAGCAGAGGCGCAAAGGUGCGCCUAGCAUUGGUGCCAAAGAAAGCCGGUGCUGUUCUUUGUCCUCAACCCGCUCUACACCUUCAAAGUAAUCCGGUCCUGUUCCUCAACCUGCUCCUGAGCGUUGCCCAUGAGUAUGAUGCCGCCAUGUUGGGCAUGUGACUAUAGACUGUAGAAAGAAUGUUAUCUCUUUUGCAUUUGGUUGUCACCUUCUGGUUAAUUCGUGAAAUUGCUCAAUCUGAGUGGUUAGCUGAGUUAUGUUAGUCUGGCCCUCAAUUUCAACACUUCGGUGUACAUUCUAGUUUUUUAAUUGUUGGACGGAUGUUUUGUGCAAAGUCCAAUUGAUAUGUACUACUCAAUUUUCUAGUUUUGAUAUGCAUACUUGUAUUUUUCAUAAUUUUAAAUAACAAACAGAUGUUAGCGGUGUUGAGCAUGAUUGCUUGCAUUUAUCCUGUGGCUGGUUUAUGAUGCUUGCCUAUAGAGACGGAAGGUGUAUUUUUCUUAUGAGCAGGAAAUUCGAUCCAAUUUAAACACUCAUAUUGUUUGUUUUGCUUGCAGCCGCAACAAUUAUAAGUGUGGAGGGAGUUUGUCAAAUAUGAGAUGUUGAUGAGUCUUACUUGGUGCUCUUCUUCAUCAUUGGCUUGCUCUGCUCCUUCAAGGUAAGCUGGUCGUGGUCCUCGACCUGCUCCUUAGCGUUGCCCAAGAGUAUGAUGCUUCCAUGUUGGGCAUGUAAUGUCAUAACCACACAACGUGGUCCAUGAGUAUGAUGCUGUCAUGUUGGGCCUGUAAUGUUAUAACCACACAGCGUCGCCCACGAGUAUGAUGCUGCCAUGUUGGGCCUGUAACUAUAGGAUAUAGAAAGCAUGUUAUCUCUUUUUCCUUUGGUUGUCACUUGCUGGUUAAUUAGUGAAAUUGGUCAAUCUGAAAUUGUCCCCAUGAUCAGCUGAGUUAUGUUAGUUUGGCCCUUGCUUUCAACACUUUUUUUGUACAUUCAAGUUUUUAAUUGUUUGAAUGGAUGGUUUGUGCAAAGUCCAAUCGAUAUGUACUCCCUCUGUAAGGAAAUAUAAAAUUGCUUAGAUCGCUAGUAGUGUUCUAAAUGAUCUUAUAUUUCCUUACGGAGGGAGUACUACUCAAUUACCUAAUCUUUAUAUGCAUAAUUGAUUUUUCCUCACUUGUCUUUGUCACUUAUCUGUUGGUUGUAUUUUUCUUGUUUCUCUCUGUUGGUGUUGUAGAGCUGUUGCUGGUGCUGCGCAUGUGGUCAUUCUGUAUACAUGUGAUUGCAUGUACUUCUUUGAAUGGAACCACUCCAUAUUGAAGUCGUCAGUUUGGUUUUCCCAGUUCAACUGUUGUGCUGUCCAGUUUCAAAAAGGCUCUUUCUAGAGAUUAUUCUCCCUAGUUGAAGCUUUUGGUUCCACUUGCAUAGUCCAAAAUAGCAUGUUUGAUCUUCAUUUUUCUCCAUUUUAUACUGCUCAAAGUCUCCAUUGUCCAUGUAGCUGAGACUGUUUAUUUAGUUGUCUACUUCUCAUGUGUUUCAGCAUAUAUAAGCAUCUAACUACUCCGGUGCUGCGUAUAGAUGUUCAGUUAUGAAUAUGAACCUGAAACCUGAAAACUAAAGCCAUUGCAGGCGCACUGCAUAUAUGUCUAAUCGAACUGAUUGCAUUCUUUUAUUUUUUGUCAUUUGUUGCAGCCUUUCGUAAGCAGUUUGAUGUACAAUUUAAAUUUGGUUUCAUUCUUUAAACUUGUAGCUUGUAGCUGUGUUGAGCAUGAUUGCUUCCAUGUAUCCUGGGGCUGGUUUAUGAUGUUUGCCUAUAGAGACGGAGGGUGUAUUUUUGGGAAGGAGACUCAAUUCAAUUUGAACGCUGAUAUUUUUUGUUUUGCUUGCAGUCGCAACACUUGUAAGUGUGGAGGGAGUUUGUCAAAGAUGAGAUGUUGCCAAGACUUACUUGGUUUGUGUGACGGUUGCGAAAGCAUGUUGUUGUUCUCGUCGUCUCCUGGUAGUAGCAGCCGACACUCGGUUUUGUUCAUGAGCAGAGUCAUCUCCAUUAAUUCAGUUGACGAAGAGAAGAGGAGGACGGCGUCGGCGAAUACAAGGAUGGACGGAUGAAUUCAUCAGCAUAAUUAGUUAGGUUUCCUUUUUAUUUUUUUAAACAGAAGAUAGUUCCACCAUGUGCACUUUUGUUUUCUGUCGUGGAACAAACAUACGACUGCGUUGAUAUAAUAUAAAAUUUCUGAAUUCCCAAGAGGCUUGAUUCUUUGUUGAUUUUCAGGUGCAUGGAUGAAUGAACCAUGACCUGCUGUUAUUCUUGUGAGAAGUAAAUAGAUCUUCUUGCUUGUAGAAUGCUAGCUAGCUUAUCCUUGUCAUUGAGAUGGUGAAAUAAGAGAAAAGAGGCUAGCUUCUUGC